rnacentral:misc_RNA from 1 species
UCGUAACAAAAGAGGUGUGAGGGCUGUCGCUGACACUUUGAAGGUCGUGCACGCCCGAGCGCUUUCUACACAAUCCAUCUCACCCCUUUGUGCACCACCGCGUGGGUCCCUCCUUUGUGGGAAGGACCUGCGUUUCAUCAUAAAACUCGAUACAGUGUAGAAUGUUUUUGUUUUUGCGGUCAUACGCAAUCAAUA